rnacentral:rRNA from 1 species
AUCACUAAGCGGAGGAAAAGAAACUAACAAGGAUUCCCUCAGUAACGGCGAGUGAAGCGGGAUCAGCCCAGCACCGAAUCCCCCGGCAUCUCGCCGGCGGGCGAUGUGGUGUAUGGGACGCCAACUGUCGUCUGACCGGUGGCCGAAGUCCUCCUGAUCGGGGCCUCUCCCAGAGCGGGUGUCAGGCCUUUACUGGCUGCUGGUCGGUCGGCUGCGAGCGUCUCCGGAGUCGGGUUGUUUGGGAAUGCAGCCCUAAGCGGGUGGUAAACUCCAUCUAAGGCUAAAUACUGGCACGAGUCCGAUAGCGGACAAGUACCGUGAGGGAAAGUUGAAAA